UUUGUCAAAGGCAAACUCGUUGCGAAACGAGGACGCAAAGCUAUGGGUCUCAUUGGAAGACUGCCAAGCUGCCAAAG
rfam:Halobacteroidaceae bacterium T328-2 scaffold_538, whole genome shotgun sequence.